rnacentral:rRNA from 1 species
GACGAACGCUGGCGGCGUGCUUAGCACAUGCAAGUCGAACGGAAAGGCCCUGCUUUUGUGGGUUGCUCGAGUGGCGAACGGGUGAGUAACACGUGAGUAACCUGCCCUUGUCUUUGGGAUAACUUCAGGAAACUCGGGCUAAUACCGGAUAGGAUCUCCUGCUGCAUGGUGGUGGUUGGAAAGUUUCGGCGGUUGGGGAUGGACUCGCGGCUUAUCAGCUUGUUUGUGUGGUAGUGGCUUACCAAGGCUUUGACGGGUAGCCGGCCUGAGAGGGUGACCGGCCACAUUGGGACUGAGAGACGGACCAGACUCCAACGGGAGGCAGCAGUGGGGAAUAUUGCACAACGGGCGGAAGCCAGAGGCGGAAACGCCGCGUGCGGGAUGACGGCCUUCGGGUUGUAAACAGAUUUCGCCUGUGACGAAGCGUGAGUGACGGUAAUGGGUAAAGAAGCACCGGCUAACUACGUG